rnacentral:tRNA from 1 species
GCCGGGAUGGCGAAACGGGUAGACGCGGAGGACUUAAAAUCCUCUGGGAGUAAUCCCUUGCCGGUUCGAAUCCGGCUCCCGGCA